rnacentral:rRNA from 1 species
UACAGAGGGUGCAAGCGUUGUUCGGAAUUACUGGGCGUAAAGGGCGCGCAGGCGGUCGUUCAAGUCGCGUGUGAAAGCCCCCGGCUCAACUGGGGAGGGUCACGCGAUACUGAUCGACUCGAAGGCAGGAGAGGGUAGUGGAAUUCCCGGUGUAGUGGUGAAAUGCGUAGAUAUCGGGAGGAACACCAGUGGCGAAGGCGACUACCUGGCCUGUUCUUGACGCUGAGGCGCGAAAGCGUGGGGAGCGAACAGG